rnacentral:rRNA from 1 species
AUUAUGCCAUGCAUGUCUCCGUACAAGCUACAUUAAAGUGAAACCGCGAAUGGCUCAUUAAAUCAGUUAUGGUUCCUUGGAUCCUACCAUGUUUACAUGGAUAACUGUGGCAAUUCUAGAGCUAAUACAUGCAACCAGAACCGUGGCUGGAAACGGCCACGGUGCACUUAUUAGAUCAAAACCAAUCGGUCGGGCUUCGGCCCUUCCGUGGCUUUGGUGACUCUGGAUAAGCCACAGCUGAUCGCACGGCCCUCGCGCCGGCGACGUAUCUUUCGAAUGUCUGCCUUAUCAACUGUCGAUGGUAGGUCACGUGCCUACCAUGGUUGUAACGGGUAACGGGGAAUCAGGGUUCGAUUCCGGAGAGGGAGCCUGAGAAACGGCUACCACAUCCAAGGAAGGCAGCAGGCGCGCAAAUUACCCACUCCCGGCACGGGGAGGUAGUGACGAAAAAUAACGAUACGGGACUCAUCCGAGGCCCCGUAAUCGGAAUGAGAACACUCUAAAAACUUUAACGAGUACCUAAUGGAGGGCAAGUCUGGUGCCAGCAGCCGCGGUAAUUCCAGCUCCAUUGGCGUAUAUUAAAGUUGUUGCGGUUAAAAAGCUCGUAGUUGGAUCUGUGUCCCGGAUGGUCGGUGCGCCGCUCGCGGUGUCUUCACUGACUCUUCCGGACGUCCUGCCGGUGGACCGUCCGUCGGCCCCCCUCGGGGGGUUCGCGCGGGCGGCCCUGACUCCCUCCGCGCUGCUCUUAACCGAGCGGUUCGGUGGGCCGGCCAGUUUACUUUGAACAAAUUUGAGUGCUCAAAGCAGCGGCAAGUCCGCCUGAAACUGUGUGCAUGGAAUAAUGGA